rnacentral:tRNA from 1 species
GCCGGUUUGGCUCAGUGGAUAGAGCAUCGGCUUGCAGACCCGAAGGGUCCCAGGUUCGAUUCUGGCCAAGGGCA